UACGUAGGGUGCAAGCGUUAAUCGGAAUUACUGGGCGUAAAGCGUGCGCAGGCGGUCGUGUAAGACAGAUGUGAAAUCCCCGGGCUCAACCUGGGAACUGCAUUUGUGACUGCAUGGCUGGAGUGCGGCAGAGGGGGAUGGAAUUCCGCGUGUAGCAGUGAAAUGCGUAGAUAUGCGGAGGAACACCGAUGGCGAAGGCAAUCCCCUGGGCCUGCACUGACGCUCAUGCACGAAAGCGUGGGGAGCAAACAGG
rnacentral:rRNA from 1 species